AACAUUUUCAUAUUUGAUUUCUAGCACAUAAUAAACACCUUCAUCCAUAUUUCAAGGUCCUGGUUAAUUUUGCAUCGUGUGUGUGGCAAUCUGGGUUCAGCAAAAGCUCUGAAUCUUUUCCUGAUAAUCUUAUAGCGUUAUAAUAUAGUCUUCCCUGCCAAAGAGUAAUGGUUGGAAACAAGAAACACAAGAGGUUUUAUAAGCUAAUGAUAAUAUGCUACAUAAAUACAAAAAAGAAAAAAUAACCAGAGAUGAGAUGAACCAAAAAAUUGAGCUUGUAGUACAAAUACCAACUACAAACACCUUAUCGCAGCUUAUAAGGGAAUCAUUUUGUCAAGCGUAUAGUACAAAAACGAAAUACUCUAGAAACAUAUAGAUAGAAAGGCUCGAUGGCAAUGGGCAUAUCUGCAGCAGAGCCGCAACCUCAAGUAUAAUUGCCAUACUUAUCUACGCUAAAAAGGAUAGAGAGCGACCCAUGUGCAUUGAGGGAUACACUAAAGUUAGUUAUGUGACUAAGCUUGGUUUGUGAAAAAGGCGAAACCAAUUAUUUAUGUGCUUGACACACCAGCAAAUCAAAUGCAGCCUCCACUACAUGUCAAUAGUUCCAAGAAAAACAAAAAUCUAAUAUGAUAUUUAAUUGUAAGCAUACAACAAAUAGUUCCACUCAGAAAUUGGUGUCGCCAUUCCUCGAAAUAGAAAUUUUCAACCUUUCCAACCUUUUUAAAUUACAACAAAGAGUAUCACUGUUUAAGUUUCUAAGAAAAAUGAAGAAAAGUUGAGAACCGUGGGUUCAACAUGAGAUUAGAACUUACAACAGCUACCAUGGCGAGGAACUGUUUAUAUUAUAUAAUGUUGAAUUUUGAAAAGGUUUUUCUAUUAUUAUUAUGUUGACACUAUGACAGCAUGUUUACACCAGGAUAAAAUCUUGUCAAAAUUAUCUGUCUAGUUCAAACAGAUAUCAAGUUCAAUGAUAUGACAACGAUAGUUUAUCAUCUGCUAUUAUUAUGCUAUAUGACAUGAAGUGUACAUGUUUAACUGGGCAAAACAGAACACACACAGGAUCGGCAAAAUUUUGCCCAGAGCCUUCCUACUCGUCCUAGGCACCUCCCUGCCUCUCUCUCUCUCCCCCCUAAUCAGGCUAAUAGAAAUAUAGACCCAAGUUGUAUAUGAAUCGUCCUAAUCAACAACAACAUGAUUUACAUCGUCCCUGUAAGAAUUUAUAGCCUGCAAAGCAGCCUGUUCAUAGGCGGACAGUGCCCCCGUACCGCCAGUUGCCUAGAAGAACAUCCUAUCUGGCGGCAGGGAGAAACUGCUUUCGCUCCACCCCAACAAGCACAACCCCAUCGUCAAUAAUCUCACACACGCAUGAAAGAGCGGGCAAACAAAACUGCGCCGCCAGGGUCUAAAAAAUUGGGAUCACAAAAGACAUAGCAAGGCACAUCCUAGCACAGGAAGCGGUAUAAAUGAAAUAAGCAGCAUAAGAAAUCGAAACAAACAAAUAACGCACGCACGCAACACCCGGUCAGGUAGCAGAAUAAAACAGUAAGUAAUAUAGAGAAACAAAAAGAAAGAAAACAGAAAAUGGAGGCACAGAACACAAACCUUGACAGCAAGUCAGGGAACCGGCGAGCUGACAGAUCGGUAAACGACAAAGCAAGUGAAGGCAACGACAAUUGGACCUGCAAAACAGAAGGAAGCAGGGACACACAUGACGGAUAGUGUCAAGCUAUCUAUCGCCAGAACUACAUUUAAGUAAGAUCAUGAAACUAAAAUCUGCUAUGCCAUUACCUAUACAGCCUUUGUAUAUGUUAUCAGAUUAACAUGUAUGGAGACAACAGAAUAUACCAGGGGAUAAUUAAGUAACACCAGGAAAACUAUUACCAGAUCACAAACAACGGCAAUCUGACAACCAAUGCACAAGGUUGCCAAAGAAAGGCACACUUACAGAGUCCGUAAACAAGAUAUCAAGCAGAACACAUAAUAUUAAACAGAGGCGUAAUUCUCCUCUGUAUUCUGAUGUGUAUGCUUCAGAAAUUUGUACCUUCUCAUCUGUUUGAUUUGGUUAUCGUAGUUCGGUCUUUUCCCUCUGGUGAACUAUGCGCCAUCCUUACAUGAUUCAUCAGCAACCACCUAGAAACGAUCUGCGGAAAAACAAAAUCAAAGUGAAAUCAAAUGGAAUCACAUGUAGGCAGUAGCGAAGUACUAUAUCAAAAUCAUUUGUUGCAAUGUAAAUUUGUAAGAUAUACAUGCAAUUGAUAUCCAAAGGUCGCUAUUUUGAAUUCUUGCUAAGCAUGACAGGCAAAAGUACUAGGUGGAUGCAAAUGCUUCUAUUCUCCUUAUUGUAAGUAGACAAUCUAAAACCAAGUAUGUGAUCAUAAUAACUGAAGGGUAAAAGUAAUUAAGAGGUAAACAUACAAGGGCAUACAAAUAAGGUUGAAGCAUUGCUGGGUACUGGUAGCUGUAAAUCUCUUUGUGAAAUCUCCUUUAAGUAACAUUAUCAUCACUCUUACCUACCUACACACACCUUCAAAGGAUGAGGUCAAAGCCAAGUGGAACUGUGGAAGUACUAAAGAAAGGGAAAGUGUCUGAUUCAUAAGCAAAGAGAGCAAGAGACCGAACUUUAAGAAUAUGUAGGAGGUUUAUUAGUAAGGAAAUAGUGGUAACCUUUUCUUAGUAAAUAAGCUCGAUGGAAACAAAUGUACUUUUCAUAUAUGACUCCCCAAAAAAGUUUAAAUAUCUUUUCCUUUAGCUGUAGCAUGACCAUAUGUACAAUGGUUGAUCACACUGUCAAUGUACCACAAUGUGCACAGCUUAUUGAUGCUUUGGGGCUAACACAUGUUCUUCACAACUAAAUUGGUAGAACGAUAAACAUGAUGUUGAGCUAGAAAAAAUAGAACUACAGACUGGGAAAAGUUCAGUUCCAAAAGCAUAUCUGAUAGAUAUGUCUGCCAGGCAUGUCGUACAUUUUCUACAGUGAGAUAGACUGGGAAGAAGAAACACAUUACUGGUUCUCCAAAAACAUAUUAAGAAAUGGAGCUUUUGGACCAGUAAAUUACACUGGUAUUCUCAAUAUAGAAUAUACCACAUCUGCAAUCUCACUGGUGAGAACCAGUGCAAGAGAAAUGAUCUAAGCCUAUAAGCUUCCAUCCUAACUGACGGGGAGACAAAAUGUCAAUACCCUCUCACUUAGUUCAGACAUGUAUAGGAUAAUGUAGCCGUACAUGUGUGUAAACAGAAACCAN
rnacentral:lncRNA from 1 species